rnacentral:rRNA from 1 species
AGUGAACGCUGGCGGUAGGCCUAACACAUGCAAGUCGAUCGGCAGCACAGUAAGAGCUUGCUCUUACGGGUGGCGAGUGGCGGACGGGUGAGGAAUACAUCGGAAUCUACUUUUUCGUGGGGGAUAACGUAGGGAAACUUACGCUAAUACCGCAUACGACCUACGGGUGAAAGCAGGGGAUCUUCGGACCUUGCGCGAGUGAAUGAGCCGAUGUCGGAUUAGCUAGUUGGCGGGGUAAAGGCCCACCAAGGCGACGAUCCGUAGCUGGUCUGAGAGGAUGAUCAGCCACACUGGAACUGAGACACGGUCCAGACUCCUACGGGAGGCAGCAGUGGGGAAUAUUGGACAAUGGGCGCAAGCCUGAUCCAGCCAUACCGCGUGGGUGAAGAAGGCCUUCGGGUUGUAAAGCCCUUUUGUUGGGAAAGAAAAGCAGCAGGUUAAUACCCCGCUGUUCUGACGGUACCCAAAGAAUAAGCACCGGCUAACUUCGUG